UACGGGAGGCAGCAGUGGGGAAUAUUGCACAAUGGGCGCAAGCCUGAUGCAGCCAUGCCGCGUGUAUGAAGAAGGCCUUCGGGUUGUAAAGUACUUUCAGUCGUGAGGAAGGUGUUAAGGUUAAUAACCUUAGCAAUUGACGUUAGCGACAGAAGAAGCACCGGCUAACUCCGUGCCAGCAGCCGCGGUAAUACGGAGGGUGCGAGCGUUAAUCGGAAUUACUGGGCGUAAAGGGCACGCAGGCGGUUAAUUAAGUUGGAUGUGAAAUCCCCGGGCUUAACCUGGGAAUGGCAUUCAAGACUGGUUAGCUAGAGUCUUGUAGAGGGGGUAGAAUUCCAUGUGUAGCGGUGAAAUGCGUAGAGAUGUGGAGGAAUACCGGUGGCGAAAGGCGGCCCCUGGACAAAGACUGACGCUCAUGUGCGAAAAGCGUGGGGAGCAAAACAGGGAUUAGAUACC
rnacentral:rRNA from 1 species